rnacentral:misc_RNA from 1 species
UUUCCGUAGGUGAACCUGCGGAAGGAUCAUUAUUGUAUAACUUAGGGGCGAGGGCUGUCGCUGACCCGAAAGGUCGUUCGCGCCCGAGUGCCCUCACACACAUCCAUCUCACCCCUAUGUGCACCACCGCGUGGGUCCCCCUUUCGUUUGUUCGGAGGGGGGCUUACGUUUUCACACAAACUUUGUAUGCAGUGUAGAAUGUAUUUUUUGUUUUUGCGAUCACGCAAUCAAUACAACUUUCAACAACGGAUCUCUUGGCUCUC